ACUCCUACGGGAGGCAGCAGUAGGGAAUCUUCCACAAUGGGCGCAAGCCUGAUGGAGCAACACCGCGUGAGUGAAGAAGGGUUUCGGCUCGUAAAGCUCUGUUGUUAAAGAAGAACACGUAUGAGAGUAACUGUUCAUACGUUGACGGUAUUUAACCAGAAAGUCACGGCUAACUACGUGCCAGCAGCCGCGGUAAUACGUAGGUGGCAAGCGUUAUCCGGAUUUAUUGGGCGUAAAGAGAGUGCAGGCGGUUUUCUAAGUCUGAUGUGAAAGCCUUCGGCUUAACCGGAGAAGUGCAUCGGAAACUGGAUAACUUGAGUGCAGAAGAGGGUAGUGGAACUCCAUGUGUAGCGGUGGAAUGCGUAGAUAUAUGGAAGAACACCAGUGGCGAAGGCGGCUACCUGGCCUGCAACUGACGCUGAGACUCGAAAGCAUGGGUAGCGAACAGGAUUAGAUACCCUGGUAGGAUAGCG
rnacentral:rRNA from 1 species